AUGCGCAGAGAGGAGGGGUCCGCAAAGCUGAGGUCCCCGCGCCGCCCGGCUACCCAUCCGUCCCGCCUGCCCCGGAAGCCCCGCGCAGCUCCGGGGCCCGCCCCACCUAGCAGCCGCAGGGGACGGGCCGCGCUCCGCACCCCCACCCCUCCUCAAAUCACAAAACUUCCCCCAACUCCGCCAACUAAGUUGCGCUCUCACAGUGACGCUCCCGGGGCUCCCGCGCCGGCCGAGACAGCUCCUCACCUUCGCCGCACAGAAAAAAACAAUAGGCGGCCGCUCCCCCCGCAGAGGCGGCGGUGGCUAAACAGGCGGCGACCGAGGCGAGCAACCGGCAUGGCAGUCUCCGCCCAGCCCAGGCGCUUCACCGCGGCUGCUCGGGCUACGCGCUGCCCCUGCACACAGCCCCGCCUGCGCACCAGCUACAAGCGCCCGAGGGUGGGCGGGGCACGCAGGAGGGCGGUAACGCCUGUGAGUCCUCCCGUGAGUACACGCGGAGCGAGAGCUGCGAGCUAGGAUUGCACGGCAGAGCUGCCCAUCCCGCCCCACGAGACCAAUAGUAAGGCACCUGGGCGGGGCACUCAGGUUGCUAAGGGAGGCUGAGGUUGACCGCAGCUGCUGCUUUGUGGCAAAGUGAUCAAAUUAGAGUGGCUGGCAGAGACUUCUCUGGGAAAUGCCCACCCACUGUCUCCUCUCCGCCCUGUCUCCAGAAACCGCCCUUUCUCUGUGUGCCGGUGGUUACCUGAGCUGCAGCACUUAACCACACAGAGGAGAAAUGAUUUACUCCUCUAUUCCCGCACUUCAACUCAGGAAGUGAGGUUUAGUCUUCUGUGUGCACAGCCUAGACAGUCUAAGGUAUUAGGUAUUAAAACAAGUGUUGGAUGGAUGCACGGCGCUUUAAAGGGAAUCACAAUUGUGACAGUAUCUGUGAACUUUGGCUACCAUCACCACACAAAGUCAUUCCGUGUUCGAGCUGCAAAUGACCUCAGAAAUCAUCUCCUGUUGCUUUGAGAAACAAAAUGUGGUCCGUGUACCAACGGUGGCCGAGGAGAAUAUAUUAGUUGAUACACAAAGAUACUUCUUUUUUCAAAUAGUUAAGUGUUUUAUGCGAUUAGAGGGAAAUGCCUAUCAAACCAUUGUUUCAUUAAUGGUAUUUAGGUCAAAUAAAAGUGGCAAAAAUAAGUAUAUUUCAAGAAAAAUGUUAAGUAAAAAUUGAGACACUUUAUAUGCAGUUCAAGAACGUGCAAAAAAUAGGAUUUAGUCAUUAACCUUAUGAGAGUAGGAGUUACUUAUGUCCUUUUUCUUCCCCAUCACUUAGUAUUUAGCCUUACUUUACAAGGGGCUUGUAUUUAUUUUAAACUGAUAGCUUUGAGUGCUUAUUAAAUGGAAAGCAUUGUGUAUUUAUUUAAUGAUUUAUUUAGAGACCGAGUCUUAUUCUGUUGCUCAGGCUGAAAUACAGUGGCACAAUUUGGCUCACUGCAACCUCCUCCUCCCUGGUUCGAGCGAUUCCCCUGCCUCAGCCUCCCAAGUGACUGGGAUUACAGGUGUCUGCCACCAUGCCCAGCUAGUUUUUGUAUUUUUAGUAGAGACAGGGUUUCAUGAUGUUGGCCAGCUGGUCUUGAACUCCUGAGCUCAGGUGAUCCACCCGCCUCAGUCUCCCAAAGUGCUGGAAUUACAGGCAAUAACCAUCACGCCUGGCUUGGUUUUUAUCCCAAAGGCUCAGGUUCAUGCAAUACAAAUCCUUACAUGUGAGAAAACUCAGCUGCAGACAGCACUGUACUACACCCAGCAUGCUGCCAGGCAGUUUGGUGGAAUCUGGCACCAUCAUCCUUCAACUUGACACUUUGACAGGCCUUUAGGGGAAGUCCUUUGAGCCCCAUCUCAACCUCUCAUUCCAGAAGAGGCUGAGGAUCUGACCAGCCGCCUGCAGUAUUUCCCACAGCGUGUGGGAGAGUUGGAGAGGGAGCAGAAGAAGGCAAAUAGGGUGAGUCAACCGUCUAACCAUACCCUGGCAGCCCGGCUUUCCAGAUGGAGGAGUGAGCUCAGCUAGUCCCUUCUGCAGGAAGGCAUGUCCCACCCAGAAGGCAGCAUGGGCCAUUUCAAAAUGCUUUGUGUGUGGUUUAUUAGAGGCAGCCUAGGGGCUGCUGGCUGCUGUGGGUGAGUUGGGGAGCACUGAGGGGAGCAAGUACUGGACAUGGAGCUUGGAGGCCAAAUGCCUGCCCUGCCCUUACCUGACUGUGGCAUUGACCAAGUCCUAGGUGGGGGUUAGGAUACUUGUACCAAGAAGAUACAGAAGAGUAUCUUUAGUAUGUUACCAUUUGUGUAGAGAGUGGGAACACAUGUGUGUGUGUGUAUGUGUGUGUGUUAGUGUGUGUGUGUACUAUGAAACUAUACAUAAAACAUGUCUGCAUGAUUCUGUGAAACUCAGGAGAGGAACAGGGUGGCAGGGAGAUAUUUCCCUUCUGUAUUUUCUGAGUUUUGGGCUAUGCAAAUGUACUCUUCAAAAAGUGAACACAAGAUUAUCCCCCUUUCUAUCUGUGCCCCCAACCCCCAGCUGUUAAAGGUGGAAAGCAUCCAGGUUCUUGGCAUCUUAAACAAAGAAUUGGACAAACGACAAAGCAAGAAGGAAUGAGGGAUUUAUUGAAAUGAAAGCACACCCACAGUGUGGGAGCUACCGGUUAACAGAGGCU
ensembl:lncRNA